rnacentral:tRNA from 1 species
GCCGGAGUGGUGGAAUGGUAGACACGUUGGAUUCAAAAUCCAAUGCUGGCAACAGCGUGCCGGUUCAAGUCCGGCCUCCGGUACCA